rnacentral:rRNA from 1 species
GACGAACGCUGGCGGCGUGCCUAAUACAUGCAAGUCGAACGCAGUGGGGACGGGUGAGUAACCCGUGGGUAACCUCCCAUCAGAGGGGAUAACACUUGGAAACAGGUGCUAAACCGAUACUGAUGGAUGGCACCCCGGUGCAUUAGCUAGUUGGUGAGGUAAAGGCUCACCAAGGCCCCAAUGCAUAGCCGACCUGAGAGGGUGAUCGGCCACACGGGGACGGAGACACGGCACAGACUCCUACGGGAGGCAGCAGUAGGGAAUCUGCGGCAAUGGACGAAAGUCUGACCGAGCAACGCCGCGUGAGUGAAGAAGGUUUUCGGAUCGUAAAACUCUGUUGUUAGAGAAGCGGUAUCUAACCAGAAAGCCACGGCUAACUACGUGCCAGCAGCCGCGGUAAUAC